rnacentral:tRNA from 1 species
AGAAACUUAGGAUAACCCCAGACCAAGAGCCUUCAAAGCCCUAAGUAGAAGUUAAAAUCUUCUAGUUUCUG